rnacentral:misc_RNA from 1 species
CACGAAGAGGCCUCCGUCGGUCUUUCAACCUUGCCUAUCGUACCCUUUUUGUUGUUCCCUCGGCGGGGUAAAGCCCGCCGGCGGGAAGCUCGAAAAACCCUUUGCAAUCAGCAUCCAAAAACUCUGAUUACAAAACCUUAAAUCGUUA